rnacentral:rRNA from 1 species
UACACACGUGCUACAAUGGUCGGUACAAAGGGUUGCCAAGCCGCGAGGUGGAGCUAAUCCCAUAAAACCGAUCGUAGUCCGGAUCGCAGUCUGCAACUCGACUGCGUGAAGUCGGAAUCGCUAGUAAUCGUGAAUCAGAAUGUCACGGUGAAUACGUUCCCGGGCCUUGUACACACCGCCCGUCACACCAUGGGAGUGGGUUGCUCCAGAAGUAGCUAGUCUAACCGCAAGGGGGACGGUUACCACGGAGUGAUUCAUGACUGGGGUGAAGUCGUAACAAGGUAGCCGUAGGGGAACCUGCGGUUGGAUCACCUCCAU